rnacentral:rRNA from 1 species
AUGGUUACAAAAUCAGUUCUCGAAGAACACCUGACAACUGUUGCAAGCAGCAUGACCUGCACAGGUAACUUGCAUGGCUUCAACAGCUAUGGUUACAAGGCCACAUUCAAGGCCCUCAAGAUUCAGGCACCCUUCAUGAAGGCUACACUCGCUAGGCCAUUGCAAUGCUUCGAGGAGGGUGCAGAGAAGGUCUAUUCUGAUCAGCUGGAUAGUGUUGUGUCUACCUGCUCUUGGGGCAAUCCUGCACCAAUUGGGACUGGUUCAGCCUUCAAAAUCCACUGGAAUGAUGGGAGCACGGUACGACGAAUAUCUCACCUGCCUAUGUUCUCUCAUGUGUGCAGCAUGCAAUUAUUUUUUUCCCUUCUCCUCUGA